UUUCCGUAGGUGAACCAGCGGAAGGAUCAUUACAGAGUUCAUGCCCUCACGGGUAGAUCUCCCACCCUUGAAUAUUUAUACCUUAGUUGCUUUGGCAGGCCGUGGAAACACCAUGGGCUCCGGCUUAUGCGUGCCUGCCAGAGGAAACAAACUCUGUUUUUAGUGAUGUCUGAGUACUAUAUAAUAGUUAAGACUUUCAACAACGGAUCUCUUGGUUCUG
rnacentral:misc_RNA from 1 species